UACAGAGGGGGCAAGCGUUAUUCGGAAUUAUUGGGCGUAAAGGGCGCGUAGGCGGCGUGACAAGUCACUUGUGAAAUCUCCGGGCUUAACUCGGAACGGUCAAGUGAUACUGUCGUGCUAGAGUACAGAAGGGGCAACUGGAAUUCUCGGUGUAGCGGUGAAAUGCGUAGAUAUCGAGAGGAACACCUGCGGCGAAGGCGGGUUGCUGGGCUGAUACUGACGCUGAGGAGCGAAAGCGUGGGGAGCAAACAGG
rnacentral:rRNA from 1 species